GGUUAAGCGACUAAGCGUACACGGUGGAUGCCCUGGCAGUCAGAGGCGAUGAAGGACGUGCUAAUCUGCGAAAAGCGUCGGUAAGGUGAUAUGAACCGUUAUAGCCGGCGAUGUCCGAAUGGGGAAACCCAGUGCAAUUCGUUGCACUAUCGUUUGAUGAAUACAUAGUCAAACGAGGCGAACCGGGGGAACUGAAACAUCUAAGUACCCCGAGGAAAAGAAAUCAACCGAGAUUCCCCCAGUAGCGGCGAGCGAACGGGGAGCAGCCCGGAGUCUGAAUCAGCUUGUGUGUUAGUGGAAGCGUCUGGAAAGUCGCAGGGUACAGGGUGAUACUCCCGUACACUAAAACACACAGGCUGUGAACUCGAAGAGUAGGGCGGGACACGUGGUAUCCUGUCUGAAUAUGGGGGGACCAUCCUCCAAGGCUAAAUACUCCUGACUGACCGAUAGUGAACCAGUACCGUGAGGGAAAGGCGAAAAGAACCCCGGCGAGGGGAGUGAAAAAGAACCUGAAACCGUGUACGUACAAGCAGUAGGAGCCUCUUUAUGGGGUGACUGCGUACCUUUUGUAUAAUGGGUCAGCGACUUAUAUUCUGUAGCAAGGUUAACCGUAUAGGGGAGCCGCAGGGAAACCGAGUCUUAACUGGGCGUUAAGUUGCAGGGUAUAGACCCGAAACCCGGUGAUCUAGCCAUGGGCAGGUUGAAGGUUGGGUAACACUAACUGGAGGACCGAACCGACUAAUGUUGAAAAAUUAGCGGAUGACUUGUGGCUGGGGGUGAAAGGCCAAUCAAACCGGGAGAUAGCUGGUUCUCCCCGAAAGCUAUUUAGGUAGCGCCUCGUGAAUUCAUCUUCGGGGGUAGAGCACUGUUUCGGCUAGGGGGUCAUCCCGACUUACCAACCCGAUGCAAACUACGAAUACCGAAGAAUGUUAUCACGGGAGACACACGGCGGGUGCUAACGUCCGUCGUGAAGAGGGAAACAACCCAGACCGCCAGCUAAGGUCCCAAAGUCAUGGUUAAGUGGGAAACGAUGUGGGAAGGCCCAGACAGCCAGGAUGUUGGCUUAGAAGCAGCCAUCAUUUAAAGAAAGCGUAAUAGCUCACUGGUCGAGUCGGCCUGCGCGGAAGAUGUAACGGGGCUAAACCAUGCACCGAAGCUGCGGCAGCGACACUAUGUGUUGUUGGGUAGGGGAGCGUUCUGUAAGCCGUUGAAGGUGGCCUGUGAGGGUUGCUGGAGGUAUCAGAAGUGCGAAUGCUGACAUAAGUAACGAUAAUGCGGGUGAAAAACCCGCACGCCGGAAGACCAAGGGUUCCUGUCCAACGUUAAUCGGGGCAGGGUGAGUCGACCCCUAAGGCGAGGCCGAAAGGCGUAGUCGAUGGGAAACAGGUUAAUAUUCCUGUACUCGGUGUUACUGCGAAGGGGGGACGGAGAAGGCUAUGUUGGCCGGGCGACGGUUGUCCCGGUUUAAGCAUGUAGGCGGAUGUUCCAGGUAAAUCCGGAACGUUACUAACGCUGAGGUGUGAUGACGAGGCACUACGGUGCUGAAGUGACAAAUGCCCUGCUUCCAGGAAAAGCCUCUAAGCAUCAGGUAACAUCAAAUCGUACCCCAAACCGACACAGGUGGUCAGGUAGAGAAUACCAAGGCGCUUGAGAGAACUCGGGUGAAGGAACUAGGCAAAAUGGUGCCGUAACUUCGGGAGAAGGCACGCUGAUAUGUAGGUGAAGUGGUUUACCCAUGGAGCUGAAAUCAGUCGAAGAUACCAGCUGGCUGCAACUGUUUAUUAAAAACACAGCACUGUGCAAACACGAAAGUGGACGUAUACGGUGUGACGCCUGCCCGGUGCCGGAAGGUUAAUUGAUGGGGUUAUCCGUAAGGAGAAGCUCUUGAUCGAAGCCCCGGUAAACGGCGGCCGUAACUAUAACGGUCCUAAGGUAGCGAAAUUCCUUGUCGGGUAAGUUCCGACCUGCACGAAUGGCGUAAUGAUGGCCAGGCUGUCUCCACCCGAGACUCAGUGAAAUUGAACUCGCUGUGAAGAUGCAGUGUACCCGCGGCAAGACGGAAAGACCCCGUGAACCUUUACUAUAGCUUGACACUGAACACUGGUCCUUGAUGUGUAGGAUAGGUGGGAGGCUUUGAAGUGUGGACGCCAGUCUGCGUGGAGCCAUCCUUGAAAUACCACCCUUUAAUGGCUGGUGUUCUAACGUGGGCCCCUAAUCGGGGUUGCGGACAGUGUCUGGUGGGUAGUUUGACUGGGGCGGUCUCCUCCUAAAGAGUAACGGAGGAGCACGAAGGUCAGCUAAUCCUGGUCGGACAUCAGGAGGUUAGUGCAAUGGCAUAAGCUGGCUUGACUGCGAGCGUGACGGCGCGAGCAGGUGCGAAAGCAGGUCAUAGUGAUCCGGUGGUUCUGAAUGGAAGGGCCAUCGCUCAACGGAUAAAAGGUACUCCGGGGAUAACAGGCUGAUACCGCCCAAGAGUUCAUAUCGACGGCGGUGUUUGGCACCUCGAUGUCGGCUCAUCACAUCCUGGGGCUGAAGUAGGUCCCAAGGGUAUGGCUGUUCGCCAUUUAAAGUGGUACGCGAGCUGGGUUUAGAACGUCGUGAGACAGUUCGGUCCCUAUCUGCCGUGGGCGCUGGAGAAUUGAGGGGGGCUGCUCCUAGUACGAGAGGACCGGAGUGGACGCAUCACUGGUGUUCGGGUUGUCAUGCCAAUGGCAUUGCCCGGUAGCUAAAUGCGGAAGAGAUAAGUGCUGAAAGCAUCUAAGCACGAAACUUGCCCCGAGAUGAGUUCUCCCUGACUCCUUGAGAGUCCUGAAGGAACGUUGAAGACGACGACGUUGAUAGGCCGGGUGUGUAAGCGCAGCGAUGCGUUGAGCUAACCGGUACUAAUGAACCGUGAGGCUUAACCUU
rnacentral:rRNA from 1 species